GACAGAGGGGGCAAGCGUUGCUCGGAAUCACUGGGCGUAAAGGGUGCGUAGGCGGGUCUUUAAGUCAGGGGUGAAAUCCUGGAGCUCAACUCCAGAACUGCCUUUGAUACUGAGGAUCUUGAGUUCGGGAGAGGUGAGUGGAACUGCGAGUGUAGAGGUGAAAUUCGUAGAUAUUCGCAAGAACACCAGUGGCGAAGGCGGCUCACUGGCCCGAUACUGACGCUGAGGCGCGAAAGCGUGGGGAGCAAACAGG
rnacentral:rRNA from 1 species